GGACCUUUGUUGGCAAAGUAAUGUCUCUGCUUUUGAAUAUGCUAUGUAGGUUGGUCAUAACUUUCUUUCCAAGGAGUAAGCGUCUUUUAAUUUCAUGGCUGCAAUUCUAAGUUUAAAAAAGACCUAAUGAGUUAAAAAAAGAAAAAAUUCCUUUAAAGAAAAAAAAAAAAAUGUGUCUCUAACUGGGUGACAUUUAAGCUGAGAGGUUCAGGGUGAGAAAGGAUUCAACCAAGAAAGGAUGGAAGGGAGAGUGCAGAGGCUUCAGGACAAGCAGGAGCUGGAAAGGGAGUAGGGGAGUUAAGGGGAGUGAGGUGGAAAGAGGCCGCAGAUGGAAAAUGCUCUGCACAAUGGCAAGGAAAUUUGGAGCUUAUUCCAUGCAAUGGGAAGACUGGAUGGAAUGAGAAUAGUGCAAAGACAAAUCUGAAUUAAAAUUUCAAACAUCAUUCUAGCUUAGUGUGAUGUAAGGCUGGUGAGGGUGCAGAGGUGAACCUGGGAGACCAGCUGGGCAGCUACUGUAAGAGUCAGGGCAGGAGAGGAUGGGCGUUGGGCUCGAGGAGCAGGUGGAAUGCACACCAGUGAAGAGAUGAAGGGGCUGUUUUUGAGACAGAGCCUUUGUGACUUGCUCAUGGAUGUGGAGGAAAGUGAGGAAAAGGGAGGAUUUAAAGAGGUUUCUAGGGACUUCCUUCAUGGUCUUGUGGUUAGGAUUUUGUCUUCCAAUGCAGGAGUGGGGCCGGGGGUUCCAUCCCUGCUUGGAGACCUAAGAUCCCACGUAUCUUGUGGCCAUAAAACCAAAACAUAAAAUGAAGCCAUAUUUUAACAAUAAAGAGUUUAUUAAUAGCCCAUAUAAAAAAUAUCUGUAAAAAGAGGUUUCUAGCUUAAGCCUCUGGGUGAAUGCCAGGGCCAGGAACUGAGCUGGGAUGAUUGGAGUAGAAGCAGGUUUUGAGAAAAAGAAAUGGCACAUGAAAUCAAGAGUUCCAGUUUGAUUGUAAAAAAAAAAAAAAAAAAAAAGGCGAGCACACAGCCAAAUCUAGAGGUCACUUAGACAGUUAAGUACCCAAAUGUGGAUGAGAGAUUAAAAAAUGGGAUUAUCUGCAUAUAUAUGGUGUUUAGGGUCAUUGGCAUGGAGCAGAAAAAAAAGAAGCCCUCAGGUCUGAAUGCCCCAACAUCGAUCACUUAUAAGUCAGCCAAGGAAAAGAUUUCAGAGAUUUGAC
ensembl:lncRNA